UACGUAGGGUGCAAGCGUUGUCCGGAAUUAUUGGGCGUAAAGAGCUCGUAGGCGGUUUGUUGCGUCGGCUGUGAAAGCCUGAGGCUCAACCUCAGGCCUGCAGUCGAUACGAGCAGACUAGAGUGUUGCAGGGGAGACUGGAAUUCCUGGUGUAGCGGUGAAAUGCGCAGAUAUCAGGAGGAACACCGGUGGCGAAGGCGGGUCUCUGGGCCGAUAUUGACGCUGAGGAGCGAAAGCGUGGGGAGCAAACAGG
rnacentral:rRNA from 1 species